rnacentral:rRNA from 1 species
UACAGAGGUCUCAAGCGUUGUUCGGAUUCAUUGGGCGUAAAGGGUGUGUAGGUGGCGCCGUAAGUCGGGUGUGAAAUUUCGGAGCUUAACUCCGAAACUGCAUUCGAUACUGCGGUGCUUGAGGACUGGAGAGGAGACUGGAAUUUACGGUGUAGCGGUGAAAUGCGUAGAUAUCGUAAGGAAGACCAGUGGCGAAGGCGGGUCUCUGGACAGUUCCUGACGCUGAGGAGCGAAAGCGUGGGGAGCGAACAGG